GACGAACGCUGGCGGCGCGCCUAACACAUGCAAGUCGAACGAGCGAGAGAGAGCUUGCUUUCUCAAGCGAGUGGCGAACGGGUGAGUAACGCGUGAGGAACCUGCCUCAAAGAGGGGGACAACAGUUGGAAACGACUGCUAAUACCGCAUAAGCCCACGGCUCGGCAUCGAGCAGAGGGAAAAGGAGCAAUCCGCUUUGAGAUGGCCUCGCGUCCGAUUAGCUAGUUGGUGAGGUAACGGCCCACCAAGGCGACGAUCGGUAGCCGGACUGAGAGGUUGAACGGCCACAUUGGGACUGAGACACGGCCCAGACUCCUACGGGAGGCAGCAGUGGGGAAUAUUGCACAAUGGGGGAAACCCUGAUGCAGCGACGCCGCGUGGAGGAAGAAGGUCUUCGGAUUGUAAACUCCUGUUGUUGAGGAAGAUAAUGACGGUACUCAACAAGGAAGUGACGGCUAACUACGUGCCAGCAGCCGCGGUAAAACGUAGGUCACAAGCGUUGUCCGGAAUUACUGGGUGUAAAGGGAGCGCAGGCGGGAAGACAAGUUGGAAGUGAAAUCCAUGGGCUCAACCCAUGAACUGCUUUCAAAACUGUUUUUCUUGAGUAGUGCAGAGGUAGGCGGAAUUCCCGGUGUAGCGGUGGAAUGCGUAGAUAUCGGGAGGAACACCAGUGGCGAAGGCGGCCUACUGGGCACCAACUGACGCUGAGGCUCGAAAGUGUGGGUAGCAAACAG
rnacentral:rRNA from 1 species